UACGUAGGGUGCGAGCGUUGUCCGGAAUUAUUGGGCGUAAAGCGCGUGUAGGCGGAUUUUCAAGCCUGGGGUGAAAGGUUGGGGCUCAACCCCAAGAGUGCCCUGGGGACUGGAAGUCUGGAGGCAGGCAGAGGAGAGUGGAAUUCCUGGUGUAGCGGUGGAAUGCGUAGAGAUCAGGAAGAACACCCAUGGCGAAGGCAGCUCUCUGGGCCUGUACUGACGCUGAGACGCGAAAGCGUGGGGAGCGAACAGG
rnacentral:rRNA from 1 species